GACGAACGCUGGCGGCGUGCUCAACACAUGCAAGUCGAACGGUAAGGCCCCUCGGGGUACACGAGUGGCGAACGGGUGAGUAACACGUGGGUGAUCUGCCCUGCACUUCGGGAUAAGCCUGGGAAACUGGGUCUAAUACCGGAUAGGACCCUGGGAUGCAUGUCCUGGGGUGGAAAGCUUUUGCGGUGUGGGAUGGGCCCGCGGCCUAUCAGCUUGUUGGUGGGGUGGUGGCCUACAAAGGCGACGACGGGUAGCCGGCCUGGGAGGGUGACCGGCCACACUGGGACUGAGAUACGGCCCAGACUCCUACGGGAGGCAGCAGUGGGGAAUAUUGCACAAUGGGCGCAAGCCUGAUGCAGCGACGCCGCGUGAGGGAUGACGGCCUUCGGGUUGUAAACCUCUUUCAGCACCGACGAAGCGCAAGUGACGGUAGGUGCAGAAGAAGGACCGGCCAACUACGUGCCAGCCGCCGCAGUAA
rnacentral:rRNA from 1 species